UCCGGGUUUCGCCCGGCAGUCUCCCUAGAACAUUCAACUAAGGACAGGGGUUGCGCUCGUUGCAGGCCCCGUAGAGCACCCGCUUUCACGGGUUUCACCCUGCAUGUCAAGCCCAGGUAAGGUUCUUCGCGUCGCAUCGAAUUAAGCCGCAUGCUCCGCCGCUUGUGCGGGCCCCCGUCAAUUCCUUUGAGUUUUAAUCUUGCGGCCGUACUCCCCAGGCGGGGUACUUCCUGCGUUAGCGCCGGCACCCAAGGGGUCGCUCCCCCAGGCACCUAGUACCCAUCGUUUACGGCGUGGACUAC
rnacentral:misc_RNA from 1 species